GCCUCAGUAACGGCGAGUGAAGCGGCAACAGCUCAAAUUUGAAAUCUGGCUCUUUCAGGGUCCGAGUUGUAAUUUGUAGAAGAUGCUUUGGGUGUAGCUCCGGUCUAAGUUCCUUGGAACAGGACGUCAUAGAGGGUGAGAAUCCCGUAUGUGACUGGGUGCUUUCGCUCGUGUAAAGCUCUUUCGACGAGUCGAGUUGUUUGGGAAUGCAGCUCAAAAUGGGUGGUAAAUUUCAUCUAAAGCUAAAUAUUGGCCAGAGACCGAUAGCGCACAAGUAGAGUGAUCGAAAGAUGAAAAGCACUUUGGAAAGAGAGUUAAACAGUACGUGAAAUUGUUGAAAGGGAAGCGCUUGCAACCAGACUUGCGCGCUGUUGAUCAUCCGAGCUUCUGCCCGGUGCACUCGACAGCGUUCAGGCCAGCAUCGGUUUUGGUGGGCGGAUAAAGGCCUUGGGAAUGUAGCUUCUUUCGGGGAGUGUUAUAGCCCUCGGUGCAAUGCGCCCUACCGGGACCGAGGACCGCGCUUCGGCUAGGAUGCUGGCGUAAUGGUUGUAAGCGACCCGUCUUGAAACACGGACCAAGGAGUCUAACAUCUAUGCGAGUGUUUGGGUGUCAAACCCAUACGCGUAAUGAAAGUGAACGGAGGUGAGAACCCUUAAGGGUGCAUCAUCGACCGAUCCUGAUGUC
rnacentral:rRNA from 1 species